UGGUGCUUUGAGUAUCAUUGUUAGGUAAAGUUUUUUAAUUUUUGGAUUUUUCAAAUGUUCAAGAGCUGUAUUUUUUUGACAAUUAUAAGUGUCUUACUGAUACCUCCAUGAGUAUUUGAGUACCAACCAUUUUGUUUAAUGCUGUCACAAUCUGCUUGUGUCGCAUGUACAUAGAGGCAGAGCUGAUAUAGAUUAAAAUACUUAUUCUGCUGCUAAGUACUCAUGGAUUUAUGCCAAGAUACUGAUACUGAAGUGGGGAGCGCCAUAUAUUACCUUAUUGAUGGAGUCAAUGUGAUGGAAAUGUUAGACAAUCAACCUUUUCCCUCAUCCUCACUGGUAGACAGUCUGAUUAUCUUCUUAAGGGUAACCACCCUUGGAAUAGGGUAGCUACCUAAUGCCAACCUCAAGCUCAAAUCACCAUCAUUCUUGCAAUUAAAUAAUGGUGAUUACACCAUUGCCUUAUCACCCUCAUGUUACAACACUCACCAUUUGCACUAAUUCUAACAAGAAUCUAAUGCUUUAAAGGGUGGUUCAAGCUUUUUCUCUAGGUCCUGGAAAGAUGAUUUCAUCUUGGCAUUACCUUGCAAGCACUUGGUCCAAGGUGCUAGAGCCUUGAGAUGCUCUCACCCAUUCACUUGAUGGUAUAUGUUUAAUUUACUUUCUUCUCACAUUUAAAUUCGCUUCUAAAUCAUUGGCAUGGGCAGAGCAUGUGGCAAAGUAUGAGUGAACAAUUGUAAAAUGUAAAAGUACGGCACCUAGCGCCAUUCUUAGCAUUUCUUAUGGCAAAUGCAUCCAACAUUCAAAUACAAGUACAAAAAGGAAACUGUAGAGGUCGUGAAGAGCAAGAAGAAAAUUUAACACAUCUUUGAAUUUUUAAUGCUAGAAGCACAAGUAGAGUAGCCAUACAAUUGUGUUUAGUUCGUUAGUUGCAAUAUUGAUAUAGCCUAACAUUCUGUUGCAUAUUGAUAUAGCCUAACAUUUCUGUGGUUUUUUUCAUCUUUGUAUAAAAAUUGACCAAAAUACCUUUAUUUGAAAAUAAAAUUUAUUUAAUUUAAUCCCACUGCUUAUAUGAACAAAAAAUGAAUAAAUUAAAGAUGUCACUUGUCUAGUAGUCAAAUUUAAGGCAGUAAAAUUAUACUGAAAAUCUGAUUGUCAUAUCACAACCCAAAGGAUUGUCAAGAUUCAGGCAAUUUUUUUUAGAAGGCUAAAAAUGAAGUACUUUUCAAUUUAGAUUUUGCAAAGGAAAGCCGAGGAACACUUGAAUGUAGCCCUUUAAACUAGAUUUUAGCUUUGGCUGGCAUAAUGAAGUUGGAUUUUGAAGUAGUAAGAUUUUAUUUUACAUAAAUCAAUGAGUGAAAAAAAAAAUAGAACUUAUGCAUUUCUCUUGGAAAUCUUUUGGAGGGCCUUUAUGUACUGACCUUAAUGAUAAUGGCCCUUACCAUUGCCGCCAUUUCAUCUACCUUUAUGUACUGACCUUAAUGAUAAUGGCCCUUACCAUUGCCGCCAUUUCAUCUACCUUUAUGUACUGACCUUAAUGAUAAUGGCCUCACCAUUGCCGCCGUUGCAUCUGCAAAGUUGGAAACCUAGUUAAAUAAUGAAGGCGACAACAAUUUGAAAGGCUAAAAGCCUAAAACCCAUUAAGAGUCAUUAUGUUAUUUAAUUGCUGUUCUGUGAUUCCAUGACCCCAACCACUAAAAGUGUGCGCAUGAAUUAGAAAAUUGAUGAAAUAAGGAAAAACUAGAUUCUUACAUUGUCAGC
rnacentral:misc_RNA from 1 species